AUCUAAAUAGCUUAAUAUAGAGCAUGAUACUGAAGAUAUCAGGGUAAUUUUAUAUUUUUAGGUA
rnacentral:tRNA from 1 species